rnacentral:rRNA from 2 species
GCAAGGUUAACCGAAUAGGGGAGCCGGAGGGAAACCGAGUCUUAAUUGGGCGUUAAGUUGCAGGGUAUAGACCCGAAACCCGGUGAUCUAGCCAUGGGCAGGUUGAAGGUUGGGUAACACUAACUGGAGGACCGAACCGACUAAUGUUGAAAAAUUAGCGGAUGACCUGUGGCUGGGGGUGAAAGGCCAAUCAAACCGGGAGAUAGCUGGUUCUCCCCGAAAGCUAUUUAGGUAGCGCCUCGUGAAUUCAUCUCCGGGGGUAGAGCACUGUUUCGGCUAGGGGGCCAUCCCGGCUUACCAACCCGAUGCAAACUGCGAAUACCGGAGAAUGUUAUCACGGGAGACACACGGCGGGUGCUAACGUCCGUCGUGAAGAGGGAAACAACCCAGACCGCCAGCUAAGGUCCCAAAGUCAUGGUUAAGUGGGAAACGAUGUGGGAAGGCCCAGACAGCCAGGAUGUUGGCUUAGAAGCAGCCAUCAUUUAAAGAAAGCGUAAUAGCUCACUGGUCGAGUCGGCCUGCGCGGAAGAUGUAACGGGGCUAAACCAUG